CUGCUGAAGGCAAGCAAGCUCAACCUUCAACCUAGGCGACUAUUUGUUCACGUUCUUAUGAGAUAUGGUCGAUAAAUUAUUACUGGUUUAGAUACAACAACAAAAAAUACUAGCCUUGUCUACUUUAACACCAUUGUCUUCUUUCAGGCUGGAAACAAUGCAGCGAAGCCUAGAGUGGGCAAAGGGGUACGCUCUUAAAUGUUGCUUCAGCAGACGGCCUGAUAGCUGAAGUGUCCGAGCUCAUGCAGGAGAGUCGCACCCAUGGUCGGCAUGCACAACCAGGUGGGAACCAUUUCAGUGGGGCCAGUUCCGGUUACCAGGCUCCAUUGACUUGGAGUGGAGCUAGAGGUGCUCCUCAUUAUCACAUCACCGGAGAGCAACUGAGGGGUCUGAUGAUAGAUGGCAGAUAUUCUUCACGUGUUCCAUUCUACACUCAAACCACAUCUAAGGCACUUUGCAUUAACCUGAAGGCAGCUGCCUUCCCAUCAAUGUUGCAGAGGCUGCACAGAAGGUACAGUGUUGCUGCUCUGAAUUCUUUAUAACACAUCGAUGGAAACUACAGACUGAAGGUGGAGGAUAGACAUUAUGUGUAUCUGCCUUGAAUCAACAGAGACAUGGCAGACUUCUGCAACCAGUGGAACCACCAUGGUUUAAGGACUGAGAGGCACCAGUCCCCUCUGCAGAUUUUCAUUAGGACUUGCCUUGCACAACAAAUGCUACCUAACACUUCACGGUUCAGGACGGGGCCGUUCAGGACGGGGCGGCUCAGGAUUUUUGCAAAAGAUCAUUAAAAAAAACAUCACAUUUAAAAGCAAACCUUAAUACAGUGAACACCAUACUGUCAUUGAAAGUAGUUACUGAUUGAAUACAUCUAGUAGAGAUGCUAGAUACUGAGAACUUAUGUCCUGCUGAGUUGUGAGUGAUGAGGUUAAAAUG